AGUCGCACCCGCCUCGAGGGCUCCAACUGUGGUAUGGUUUACAGACAGGGAGAGCUCUGUUGCCUUACUCGGGAAAACACUCACCCUGCAAUGUAUACCUGAUGGAUACCCAUUACCCAAUAUAGAGUGGGCCAGAACAGGCGGCUCACUGCCUGUGGGGCGUCACACGAUCAGUAACGACAAGUACACAUUGCAGAUCUCAAAUGUGACAGAGGCAGAUGAAGGAACGUACACCUGUACAGCUGUACAUGGAAGCCAGAGGUCUGUUCAGAACAUCUUUGUGGAUGUGAAAUCGGGGCCUAUUUGGGUGGAGAAGCUGAAAUCUGUGAUAGUGACGGCCGGAAAGACUGCUGAGUUCAAAUGUGUGGCAAGGUCGGCUGUAGGGGAGCAGGACAAUCCACUGGUACAGUGGUUCCAGAACGGCAAACCUCUAA